AAGAUGCUAGUAAAAUUGAUUAUUACACUGCCUUGUCGAGGCAGAAUUGUGGGUUUAAGCCCCGCGCAUCUUG
rnacentral:tRNA from 1 species